GGAGAGAUGGCUGCGUAGAUUAAGGCAUCGGAUUGCUAAUCCGUUGUACAAGCUAUUUGUAUCGAGGGUUCGAAUCGCUCUCUCUCCG
rnacentral:tRNA from 1 species